rnacentral:lncRNA from 1 species
GGAUAUGGGGAGGAUUAAAUCUACUCUUAAAACCCACUCAACGUAUGCAAUACCAAAAGAAUAACGACCUAAAAUAAAACCUCUGCCUCUAAUUGAUUCCACAAUCCUAAAAGGAAAAGAAAAACAAAGACUAGAGAAAUAAAACAAGGAAAAAAAAAUGCCACAGACUUACCGAUAAGUUGAUCCCCUCUCCUUGGCUCAACAUGACUUCUAAAGACUCUUUCUUCCCAAAGAACUUGAAGAAACUAAUUUUAACAAAAAUACUAAAAGAAGAAAAGUCGAAGCUCUCAAGAAUUCUCUCAAAUUUAUUCUCAAAU